AUUUUCUCAUGUUACUUUGGAUUCUUGCUGUGGUUCUGAAGGACGGUUAAGUGGCGGGCUGCAUUGAACCAGUUCCACUAGUCUGUUCCACCCGCAGCCCAGGAGGAUCUCCGACCAUGUCUGUGAGACUAGAGGUGCUGGGCUUAACUCAGGUGUCCUGGGCUGGUUGGGCGCUGUCGUGUCCUGUGCUAUGCCCCUGUGGCGUGUCACAGCCUUUGUUGGUGACAACAUCGUGACUGCUCAGAUCUACUGGUAGGGGCUGUGGAUGACCUGUGUGGUGCAGAGCACUGGCAGAUGCAAUGCAAGGUGUAUGACUCCAUGCUGGCGCUCUCCAUGGACCUCCAGGUUGCCCGAGCCAUCUUGAUAAUCUCCAUCUUGGUUUGUGUGGUGGGCACCCUUGCCAGCAUUGCAGGGGCGACGUUCACCAACUGCCUGGCUGAGAGUUUCAGAACUAAGGCCCGGGUUGCCUUGGCAGCAGGGGUUCUGUUUCUGGUUGCUGGUGUUUGGGUCUGGUCCCUCCCAGCUGGACAGCUCACCAGGGUUUUUUCUCGUGUCGUCGAGCCAACAGAAGGUUGGAGGUCGAAAGGAUAAGGGGCAGUACAAGAUGGCGGCCACCAGUCACUUCCACAGCCAUGAGCAGGCCACAUCUUAUGCCUAACCUGCCAAACCUCAACCUGUGUUCACAUCCAAUGACUCUGGACUGAGCGUUAAAAUGCUGCUUUGAAACUGCAGAGAACCAGGCUGUCAUUAGGUUGCACACCUAAUUCAAAUUUUUUAACACUGUUUUGAUAGUGGUUUUAUACAUGUAGGCUUUUACCUCUUAAUAUAUAGGUGUUAAUACACUAUUAAACUGAGUUUGCCAUGUUUUAGUUUGGAACUGAAUAGACUCAAUUGUAAAGUGACAUUUCCAGCCUCCAAAGGCAUUAAGGCUCAAAUCAGUUGCUUGACUGAACCACAAGAGGGUAUCAGUCAUGUUACGCAACAUGAAGUCACCAGACUCUUGGAGCUUAUUCAGAGCAGAUUAGGCCUACAGUCAGUACAUGUUACAUGGGACCCUGUCCUGUUUGCAGACAUUUUUAUUGACCAGUUGAUGCCAUAACCUGUCUGUUGCUCAAGUGCAGAGCAUCAUCAGAGACUUAUCCACAACUAAAC